rnacentral:rRNA from 1 species
GACCAGACUCCUACGGGAGGCAGCAGUGGGGAAUAUUGCACAAUGGGGGAAACCCUGAUGCAGCAACGCCGCGUGAGUGAAGAAGUAUUUCGAUAUGUAAAGCUCUAUCAGCAGGGAAGAAGAUGACGGUACCUGAGUAAGAAGCCCCGGCUAACUACGUGCCAGCAGCCGCGGUAAUACGUAGGGGGCAAGCGUUAUCCGGAUUUACUGGGUGUAAAGAGAGCGUAGACGGUAUGGCAAGUCUGAUGUGAAAACCCGGGGCUCAACCCCGGGACUGCAUUGGAAACUGUCGGACUAGAGUGUCGGAGAGGCAAGUGGAAUUCCUAGUGUAGCGGUGAAAUGCGUAGAUAUUAGGAGGAACACCAGUGGCGAAGGCGGCUUGCUGGACGAUGACUGACGUUGAGGCUCGAAAGCGUGGGGAGCAAACAGGAUUAGAUACCCCGGUAAA